rnacentral:lncRNA from 13 species
ACUGAAAGUAUGAGUAACAUUCCCAUUCCCAUUGUUUUGUCAUAACAAAACAAUGACAAGGCUCAACCAUUAAGAGAACAUAAAAAUCCUGGACAUUUUUACCACUCUGCACCCCAAGUCCUGCCCCUGCCGCCUGCAGCACACACAGAAUAAAACAAGCAACAACCCAUCAAGUUAUCUGCUAUGUCGGUUAGGAUAACCAUCUCCGAUGGCUUCACGAAGAGCCUUUAAUAACGGCACUACUUACAGAAAGGAUUAAAAGAGCAAACAAGAAGGUGAGGCCCCCAGAGACUUCCCACAACUUAUUGAUGUCUCUUGGGCUAAAGAAACAAGAAGAGGAAGUAGAGCUGGCAGAGCAGGGGCCCUGUGUGUGUUCUAAAACCACAAAGGGACACAGCUGCUGUAAGAGAUUCUGCACUGAGCAAGAGGAAAUGGGGAAAAGUUCCUCCUUCACACAGUCUCUCUCUUGCCACCAUGUAAGACAUGCCUGCUUUCCCUUCUGCCAUGACUGA